GGUUAAGCGACUAAGCGUACACGGUGGAUGCCCUGGCAGUCAGAGGCGAUGAAGGGCGUGCUAAUCUGCGAUAAGCGCCGGUAAGGUGAUAUGAACCGUUAUAACCGGCGAUACCCGAAUGGGGAAACCCAGUGUGAUUCGUCACACUAUCAUUAACUGAAUCCAUAGGUUAAUGAGGCGAACCGGGGGAACUGAAACAUCUAAGUACCCCGAGGAAAAGAAAUCAACCGAGAUUCCCCCAGUAGCGGCGAGCGAACGGGGAGGAGCCCAGAGCCUGAAUCAGCAUGUGUGUUAGUGGAAGCGUCUGGAAAGGCGCGCGAUACAGGGUGACAGCCCCGUACACAAAAGCGCAUGUGCUGUGAGCUCGAUGAGUAGGGCGGGACACGUGGUAUCCUGUCUGAAUAUGGGGGGACCAUCCUCCAAGGCUAAAUACUCCUGACUGACCGAUAGUGAACCAGUACCGUGAGGGAAAGGCGAAAAGAACCCCGGCGAGGGGAGUGAAAAAGAACCUGAAACCGUGUACGUACAAGCAGUGGGAGCCCCACCACCAAAGCAUUCUCUGGUGUUGAAGGCCCUGCAAAGCAGCAUCGCGGUGGCGGAGCGUCGUUUGCGACGCCCAACACACAAAACAAGCGGUGAAUGCUUUGGGGUGGGGUGACUGCGUACCUUUUGUAUAAUGGGUCAGCGACUUAUAUUCUGUAGCAAGGUUAACCGAAUAGGGGAGCCGGAGGGAAACCGAGUCUUAAUUGGGCGUUAAGUUGCAGGGUAUAGACCCGAAACCCGGUGAUCUAGCCAUGGGCAGGUUGAAGGUUGGGUAACACUAACUGGAGGACCGAACCGACUAAUGUUGAAAAAUUAGCGGAUGACCUGUGGCUGGGGGUGAAAGGCCAAUCAAACCGGGAGAUAGCUGGUUCUCCCCGAAAGCUAUUUAGGUAGCGCCUCGUGAAUUCAUCUCCGGGGGUAGAGCACUGUUUCGGCUAGGGGGCCAUCCCGGCUUACCAACCCGAUGCAAACUGCGAAUACCGGAGAAUGUUAUCACGGGAGACACACGGCGGGUGCUAACGUCCGUCGUGAAGAGGGAAACAACCCAGACCGCCAGCUAAGGUCCCAAAGUCAUGGUUAAGUGGGAAACGAUGUGGGAAGGCCCAGACAGCCAGGAUGUUGGCUUAGAAGCAGCCAUCAUUUAAAGAAAGCGUAAUAGCUCACUGGUCGAGUCGGCCUGCGCGGAAGAUGUAACGGGGCUAAACCAUGCACCGAAGCUGCGGCAGCGAACGUAUCACCCAAGACAACUUUACGGAGUUGACGAUUGACGGAGCGAAGCGACGUCAAAGCGUUCAUUAAAGUCGAGUUGGCUUAGGGAUACGUUCGUUGGGUAGGGGAGCGUUCUGUAAGCCUGUGAAGGUGUGUCGUGAGGCAUGCUGGAGGUAUCAGAAGUGCGAAUGCUGACAUAAGUAACGAUAAAGCGGGUGAAAAGCCCGCUCGCCGGAAGACCAAGGGUUCCUGUCCAACGUUAAUCGGGGCAGGGUGAGUCGACCCCUAAGGCGAGGCCGAAAGGCGUAGUCGAUGGGAAACGGGUUAAUAUUCCCGUACUUGGUGUUACUGCGAAGGGGGGACGGAGAAGGCUAUGUUGGCCGGGCGACGGUUGUCCCGGUUUAAGCGUGUAGGUGUGUGUUCCAGGUAAAUCCGGUUCACUUUAACACUGAGGCGUGACGACGAGGCACUACGGUGCUGAAGCAACAAAUGCCCUGCUUCCAGGAAAAGCCUCUAAGCAUCAGGUAACAUCAAAUCGUACCCCAAACCGACACAGGUGGUCAGGUAGAGAAUACCAAGGCGCUUGAGAGAACUCGGGUGAAGGAACUAGGCAAAAUGGUGCCGUAACUUCGGGAGAAGGCACGCUGACACGUAGGUGAAGUGAUUUACUCACGGAGCUGAAGUCAGUCGAAGAUACCAGCUGGCUGCAACUGUUUAUUAAAAACACAGCACUGUGCAAACACGAAAGUGGACGUAUACGGUGUGACGCCUGCCCGGUGCCGGAAGGUUAAUUGAUGGGGUCAGCGCAAGCGAAGCUCCUGAUCGAAGCCCCGGUAAACGGCGGCCGUAACUAUAACGGUCCUAAGGUAGCGAAAUUCCUUGUCGGGUAAGUUCCGACCUGCACGAAUGGCGUAAUGAUGGCCAGGCUGUCUCCACCCGAGACUCAGUGAAAUUGAACUCGCUGUGAAGAUGCAGUGUACCCGCGGCAAGACGGAAAGACCCCGUGAACCUUUACUAUAGCUUGACACUGAACAUUGAGCCUUGAUGUGUAGGAUAGGUGGGAGGCUUUGAAGUGUGGACGCCAGUCUGCAUGGAGCCGACCUUGAAAUACCACCCUUUAAUGUUUGAUGUUCUAACGUGGACCCGUAAUCCGGGUUGCGGACAGUGUCUGGUGGGUAGUUUGACUGGGGCGGUCUCCUCCUAAAGAGUAACGGAGGAGCACGAAGGUUGGCUAAUCCUGGUCGGACAUCAGGAGGUUAGUGCAAUGGCAUAAGCCAGCUUGACUGCGAGCGUGACGGCGCGAGCAGGUGCGAAAGCAGGUCAUAGUGAUCCGGUGGUUCUGAAUGGAAGGGCCAUCGCUCAACGGAUAAAAGGUACUCCGGGGAUAACAGGCUGAUACCGCCCAAGAGUUCAUAUCGACGGCGGUGUUUGGCACCUCGAUGUCGGCUCAUCACAUCCUGGGGCUGAAGUAGGUCCCAAGGGUAUGGCUGUUCGCCAUUUAAAGUGGUACGCGAGCUGGGUUUAGAACGUCGUGAGACAGUUCGGUCCCUAUCUGCCGUGGGCGCUGGAGAACUGAGGGGGGCUGCUCCUAGUACGAGAGGACCGGAGUGGACGCAUCACUGGUGUUCGGGUUGUCAUGCCAAUGGCACUGCCCGGUAGCUAAAUGCGGAAGAGAUAAGUGCUGAAAGCAUCUAAGCACGAAACUUGCCCCGAGAUGAGUUCUCCCUGAGACUUAGAGUCUCCUGAAGGAACGUUGAAGACGACGACGUUGAUAGGCCGGGUGUGUAAGCGCAGCGAUGCGUUGAGCUAACCGGUACUAAUGAACCGUGAGGCUUAACCUU
rnacentral:rRNA from 1 species